rnacentral:tRNA from 6 species
CAGAAGCCGGGAUAGCU